AGUGAACGCUGGCGGUAGGCCUAACACAUGCAAGUCGAACGGCAGCACAGGAGAGCUUGCUCUCUAGGUGGCGAGUGGCGGACGGGUGAGGAAUACAUCGGAAUCUGCCCAGUCGUGGGGGAUAACGUAGGGAAACUUACGCUAAUACCGCAUACGACCUUCGGGUGAAAGAGGGGGAUCGCAAGACCUCUCGCGAUUGGAUGAGCCGAUGUCGGAUUAGCUAGUUAGCGGGGUAAUGGCCCACCAAGGCGACGAUCCGUAGCUGGUCUGAGAGGAUGAUCAGCCACACUGGAACUGAGACACGGUCCAGACUCCUACGGGAGGCAGCAGUGGGGAAUAUUGGACAAUGGGCGCAAGCCUGAUCCAGCCAUACCGCGUGGGUGAAGAAGGCCUUCGGGUUGUAAAGCCCUUUUGUUGGGAAAGAAAUCUUUCAGGCUAAUACCCUGGGAGGAUGACGGUACCCAAAGAAUAAGCACCGGCUAACUU
rnacentral:rRNA from 1 species